CUCGGCCCCGUGUCAGGCGAUGAGCUGCGAGGGCACCACGUGCAGCGAUACCCCACAGCGUCCCUCCUCUCCCUUGUGAUACAGGCUGCUCUGACACUUGGCACUGUCACCUAACGGGCCCGGCCCCAGCGCUGAACAAGGCCCGAGCUCUGCACUCGCAGCCCCGUUGGGACGAGGGGCAUUUCCUAAGCGGGAUCAGCAAUAGGCGAUCCACCCCCAGACCGAGAUGGAGCAGAGUUGCACCACUUUGCUAAGGAAGUGCUUUUUUGUAAUUCCAGGUGUAACAAAAACUCCACUCUUCCUGCUCUGCGCCAGGGCUGGAGCUCUGACGUAACUUUCCAGACAAGUCAGGUUUCCCCCUGCUGUUCUGUUCUGAACCAAAACCAAAACGCUGGGGUUUCUUCACUUCUGCAUGCUGGAGACGGGACUGAACGGACCAAGCAAAGUCCACCCCAGGCUCACAACGUUAUUUUGCCAUCCACAGCCUUCUCAGCAGCCCUGUGCACAGCCCGGAGUGUCAGCUUUGAAGAGGAGGAGGAAAGCGAGCCGGCAGAGCCCCUCUCUCAGCCAUUCCUUUGUGUCUGCGCACAGUUCCCUUUGUUUAAAGACCCCCUGACCAAACUCCUUGCUUCUCCUUUCUGUUAACGUCCCUCUGCACCUGAGCUUAGCGUACUGGUCCAGGCCUGAGCCACCCCACUGUCGUAUCCCUGCAGGGAGAGCCUGUGUCCCUAACCUCAGUGCUGCGAUAGCAGUUCAAAAAGCAGGUUCCUAGGAACAGCUUCAUCCCUGAAGUGUGAAGGUCACUGCAACAGCACAAACAAAAUGGAGGCAGCAGAGGCUGCAGCGGCCUUCCAGAGCGGCUCAGCGCCUGAAGAUCUAUGGGUCAAAAGAAAACCGCUUCAAGGGCAGAAAAGCCUCAAUUCACAUCAUAGAGCAGGAAAGCAAUCACGAGCCAGGUCAGUCUAUCCAAGUCACAAUGCCCCCAAGACCUUUUGCUGAGGGAUUUCUGGUUCACACACCAGGUGACUGUAGUGGACUGAGCAGAAUUAGCUCUGAGACACCUUGAGGGUCAUGCUGUCCAUUCUUGGCGCGAGGCUGCUCAGCCCGCUGCCAAGCCCCCUGCCUCCCUGCACGCACACACACACACGUGGUGCAUGGCUGUUGGGAAGCAGACAGAAGCCACACACUUUCGCUGCUGAUCUACACGUGGCCAGCACCUCUCCCUGCCCAGGGUGUACCAGUGCACUCUCCCAGCCAUCACCUACACCUGGGUCACAAUUCCACCUGUAGAUGUGAUAUGACAUGGAUAUGGAGCCUGCCCGGAGCGGGGCAGUGAGGCUGCUGUGCCCCCUUGGCAGAGCUCAAAGCGGACUUCUCCGCAGACACCCAGAACUAUCACUAACACACAGUCGGCUCACCGGGGCAAGAAACUUCUGUCCUUUGGGCAGUGCCUUUCAGUAAUGCUCACAAAGCCUAUCUAACAGCAGAUGAGGCAGGGGAUUCUGCCUCACUCUACACCAGCCUGCUGUAUAUCACAAAGGGCAACCGGGAAACCAAAAGCACUCCAAGAGACAAGCGGGCCUAGCGUGCCCUUCGGUGGGAGCCUGAAGGUCAUGCUCUCCUCUGCUGUCUUUUGGAAUUACCCAACAGCUCUGUAACACAGUUUCUUUCCAAUAGAUUUUCAGCAUGUCACAGAGGUGUGGAAACAAGCCCUGGCCUCAAGAGUGGGAAGCUCCUUUUUGUGCCCUUUGCAGGUCACAAUAAAUGCAUGUCCUGCAGCAGGGCAAAACCCUCCCGAAGAAAUAACUGUUUCACACCUCUGUACCUGCACCUUCCCGUUCCCCCUUUCCUCCCAGUUCCAGUAUGGAGCAAGUUAUUCUCUAAAGGGAGAGAAAAGGUUAAUGACGCUGUUCCUCCCCAGCCAUCGCCCCCCUCGCCAACACCACCAGCACUCUUUCUCUCCCUUCCCCUCCCCCUAAUCUGUGCAGCCUCAUUAAAAGAGCUUUGUAACUGUU